CCCUUAGAUGUUCUGGGCUGCACGCGCGCUACACUGAUGCGCUCAACGAGUUUACGAACUUGCCCGGAAGGGUUGGUUAAUCUUUUUAAAACGCAUCGUGAUGGGGAUAGAUUAUUGCAAUUAUUAAUCUUCAACGAGGAAUUCCUAGUAAGCGCGAGUCAUCAGCUCGCACUGAUUACGUCCCUGCCCUUUGUACACACCGCCCGUCGCUCCUACCGAUUGAAUGGUCCGGUGAAGCGUUCGGACCGUGGCCUUUGGACGGUUCGCCGUCUGUUGGCUGCGGGAAGUUCGUUAAACCUUAUCAUUUAGAGGAAGGAGAAGUCGUAACA
rnacentral:rRNA from 1 species